AGCGGCGGACGGGUGAGUAACACGUGGGUAACCUGCCCAAGAGACUGGGAUAACACCUGGAAACAGAUGCUAAUACCGGAUAACAACACUAGACGCAUGUCUAGAGAUUGAAAGAUGGUUCUGCUAUCACUCUUGGAUGGACCUGCGGUGCAUUAGCUAGUUGGUAAGGUAACGGCUUACCAAGGCAAUGAUGCAUAGCCGAGUUGAGAGACUGAUCGGCCACAUUGGGACUGAGACACGGCCCAAACUCCUACGGGAGGCAGCAGUAGGGAAUCUUCCACAAUGGACGAAAGUCUGAUGGAGCAACGCCGCGUGAGUGAAGAAGGGUUUCGGCUCGUAAAGCUCUGUUGGUAGUGAAGAAAGAUAGAGGUAGUAACUGGCCUUUAUUUGACGGUAAUUACUUAGAAAGUCACGGCUAACUACGUGCCAGCAGCCGCGGUAAUACGUAGGUGGCAAGCGUUGUCCGGAUUUAUUGGGCGUAAAGCGAGUGCAGGCGGUUCAAUAAGUCUGAUGUGAAAGCCUUCGGCUCAACCGGAGAAUUGCAUCAGAAACUGUUGAACUUGAGUGCAGAAGAGGAGAGUGGAACUCCAUGUGUAGCGGUGGAAUGCGUAGAUAUAUGGAAGAACACCAGUGGCGAAGGCGGCUCUCUGGUCUGCAACUGACGCUGAGGCUCGAAAGCAUGGGUAGCGAACAGGAUUAGAUACCCUGGUAGUCCAUGCCGUAAACGAUGAGUGCUAAGUGU
rnacentral:rRNA from 1 species